AAGAGAGAAAUGAAUUACUCAACAUGGAUCCAACAGACAAGAAAAAACACUGAAUAUGUCAGAUCAGUAACUAUAUCCUUGAAAAUAGGUGUGAAAAUGAUUUUUGCUGGUAAAGUUUCAACUGACCUCCCUCCAUCACUGUGUUAGAAGCCAGUUUCCCUCCACUUGCAAAUUCACGGGGCCAUCGAGACUUCAAAUGUGCAGGCAGCCGGAGCCUCGGAUGAUGGCUGCCUUUUGCCGGGGACCCUUGGGCAGACCUCUUGGAGGAAUCCGACUGCGAUUUUCCCCAAACAACGUCCCCUUUUAGCAGGAAGUAGCUAAGACCAGUCAUCAUCUAUAUUCUAACGGCAGUUAGAUGUGCCUCUUCAGAGGGGGAAAUGAUACAGAACAGCCAGAAUAAACCCCACUCUUAGGCCUGGAACCACAACCUUAAGUGAAAACAGCUGGCCCUGUUUCUCCUGCCCAAAUGUUGCCUUUUUGGCCUGCCACCCCUUAUCCUGUGCCCAUAAAAGGACUUCAGCUGGCAGAGCAACACAAAUGGCUGAGCAUCAGGGAUACAAGCUGCUGAGUGUUGGGCAUAUACGCGGCUGAGUAGCGAACAAAGAAGUAACAACUGAGCAUUGGAGACUAUGGAUAGAUGCAGCUAACUUCAGACAGUGUGGCUUCAAGGAAAGAUCACCUUCUUCCCCUUUCCC
rnacentral:lncRNA from 10 species